UGGGGAAUAUUGCACAAUGGGCGCAAGCCUGAUGCAGCCAUGCCGCGUGUGUGAAGAAGGCCUUCGGGUUGUAAAGCACUUUCAGCGGGGAGGAAGGCGGUGAGGUUAAUAACCUCAUCGAUUGACGUUACCCGCAGAAGAAGCACCGGCUAACUCCGUGCCAGCAGCCGCGGUAAUACGGAGGGUGCAAGCGUUAAUCGGAAUUACUGGGCGUAAAGCGCACGCAGGCGGUUGGUUGAGUCAGAUGUGAAAUCCCCGGGCUUAAACCGGGAAGUGGAUCUGAUACUGGUCAGCUAGGGUCUUGUAGAGGGGGGUAGGAGUCCCUGUGUAGGGGUGAAAUGCGUAGAGAUGGGGGGGAAUACCGGUGGCGAAGGCGGCCCCCUGGACAAAGACUGACGCUCAGGUGCGAAAGCGUGGGGAGCAAACAGG
rnacentral:rRNA from 1 species